GUUGAUGAAUUCAUAACGAAGUACUUCGCUUUGGAAAGUUUCUCGACAUACAUACAUAUAAAUCUUUGAAAUAUUGUCAACUUGAACUAUAUCUAACAUCAUUGGUGGUCAUGAUCCUUGAACAAGUCAUGCAAUAUACAUUGUAGUUUUAUUUCCUAAUCAUAUCAUUCAACAAAGCAUUGAAUGGGGAAAGCAUACUUAUAUAGACUGUGAAAACACACUUGUGACCGGUUUCAAAAUGGUUUAAAGGAGGAUCGACGAGAAAACACUAGUCUUAGAGUUCCACGUUUUUGAGAAUUUGUUAACAUAUAUUGACAUAUGAAUUAAACUGAACCUGUUAACUUACACAAUAUUCAUGUCAAAGCAAUAACGUCUAAAUCAUUUGCAAAUUUUUCGCCAUCCCCAUUGCCUUCUUUCUUCUUCACAAAUUUUGUUGUUUUCUAGAGAAUGUUCGAAUAAAGAACAUUUUGUAAGAAUGAAAAACAAUAAUCCAUCUUGCUUGAAUUCUAAGUGCAAAAAACAUACAAAAAUUGAAGGUGUAAGGAUUCCGAAAAAAUAUUUGUCGGUAAGUGUAACAUUAAAUAAGAUGUGUUUUCAUAACAUAUGUGGACAUAUGUUCACAGUUGGUGAGGUAAUUUGUCUGGUUAAUUCCGAUAACGAACGAGACAUUAACCUGCUUAAUAUUUGACUGUUCCUCUGUGCACGUUUAUGGCCUGACUUCUAUUGCUUUUUUGUGGAGUAGUGUGACGUUGAUCCGGCGGAUGCGAUACCAGCUUCUACUACUCAGAGGGACAAGUAGCACACGAAAUUGAACAAUAACAGAUCUCUGAUACUCUCGGAUAUCCGGGGCCACACGUGCGCUACAACGACGGUGCUGGAAAGGAGCGAAACCCGGUACGAAAGGGUGUGAAAACUGUUUCAUCACCGUCAUGACCGGGUUCAAGGCUUGCAAUUAUUCCCCCUGAACGAGGAAUUUCUGGCAUGUGCAAUUCAUGAGCUUGGACUAACUACGUCUCUGCCCUUUGUACACACCUCACCUCGCUAAUAACGAUUGAAUGGUUUAUUGAGGUCUUUGGAUUGGUGUCGUUGUAGUGGCUUAACCACCAGAUUGAGAUGACGUAACUUGACUAUUUAGAGGACGUCAAAGUUGUUAAAACGUUUCCGUAGGCGAAGCUGCAUAAGGAUCAUUA
rnacentral:ncRNA from 1 species